UGUGAGGGCGAUCUGGUUUGCGAUGCGUGUCACACCACUGAUUCGGCUGAUCUAGGUGGCUAGGUAGGUGUACCCUUCCUCCCUCACUACAAUUGUGCGUCCAUCCCUCUUGGAGCUGCAUGCUAGGUUAGACAGAGUGGACUGGUCUUUGGUCAAGGACACACAAGUAGCUGUGCUCCCCUGCCAGAACCUCCAAACAAGCUCUCAAACAGUGAAAAUUUUCUCUUUGAUAGUCUUUAAAAAUAAUCUUUAGAAUUUUGGUUUUGUUU
rnacentral:sRNA from 1 species